GAGGUAAGGCCUUUGGGAUAUAAUUAGAUUAUGAAGAUGAAGCUGUUAUAAAUGGGAUUAGUGCUCUUAUCAAAGGAGACACAGAGCGCUCUCUUGCCCUCUUUCUGCUAUGAGACUGCAAUGAAAAGUUGGCAGUCUGCAACCUGAAAGAAGGUCUUCACCUAGGACCCAACUAUGCUGACACUGAUCACAGACUCCCAGCUUCAAGAACGAUGGAGAUGGAGUCCCUCUCUGUCACCCAGGCAGAAGUGCAGUGGCGCAGUCUUGGCUCAGUGCAACCUCUGCCUCCUGGGUUCAACGGAUUCUCCUGCCUCACCCUCCUUAGUAGCUGGGAUUACAGCCCGUCUAAUUUUUGUAUUUUUUAGUAGAGAGGGGGGUUUCACCAUGUUGACCAGGCUGGUCUUGAACCCCUGACCUCAAGUGAUCCACCUGCCUUGGCCUUCCAAAGUGCUGGGAUUACAGGCUAGAGCCACUGUGCCUGGCCUAAAUUUCAUACUAUACGCAUUUACCCUCUAUUUAAUAUAAUACACCAAAUAAAGGUAUAGAAUAUCAAGAAACAAUAUGGAAUAAUUUCUUAUAUACAAAAACUUUAAAAUUAGUUAAGAAAACAAGUGAAAUAAACAUAAGAAAAAAGUUAAUAACUUUGGACAGUGAUAAAUUGUGUGGCACAGAUAAAUUUUAAUAAGAAUUAAGCUUAUUUAGACAUCUAGUUACAUUUAAGACAUCAUGGGUGAAAGAAGAUUACAGUUAAAACUUGACUCUCUCUUAAGUAAAACAAAGAAAGAUGUAAUAGCAUAAGAAAAACUAAAUGUCCUUCUGGUGUCAAG
rnacentral:lncRNA from 1 species